AUGGUUAAUAAUAGUAUGGUUAAUAAUAGUAUGGUUAAUAAUAGUGUGGUUAAUAAUAAUAUGGUUAAUAAUAAUCUUAUUAAACCUAAGGUGAUUAAUAGAGCAGAUAGUGAUAUGUAUUAUACCAUGAAUAAUUCAUUAAAUGAUAAAAAUCUGAUUGAUUCAUAUGAAUACCAAAGUAAUCCUAGUUAUAGUAUGAUAGAUGAAAAUGAAAAAGAAUCAGUAAUGUUUGCAGGUAAUAAUAAUAUGAAUAAUAAUAUGAAUAAUAAUAUGGAUAAUAAUAUACAUAAUAAUAUACAUAAUAGAAAUAACACAAGCGAUAGUAAUAAUAUUGUUAAAAAAAACACCAUGAAUAACGGUUUUGUUAAUAAUAGGACUCGAAAAAUGCAAGAAAAUAUUGAUAUUUCUUUAGUGCCUAUGUAUAAUAAUAAUGUGAAAAGGUUUUCGGAAAGUGGAUAUAAUAGUGAUAGUAAUUUAAUACUUAGUAAUUAUAGUUUGAUAAAUGAAGAAGACAAUUCUAAAAAUGAUAAUAUAAACGGUAUAAAUUAUGAUCUAGAUAAUAAACUGAAAAUGCGUAAUAAUAGUAGUAAUAUAUAUAACAACAGUCAUUAUAAUAGUAGUAAUAUACCCUAUAACCAGGAUAAUCAAAUUUAUAGCAAUAACAACAACCUUAACAACAACCUAAACAACAACCUAAACAACAACUUUAACAAUAAUGUCAAAAAUAAUAUUGCUUAUUUUAAUAAAAUGAUAGAUAAUAGAAAAAACAUGAAAAAUAUAAAACAAGAUCACAUAGAAGAUAAUUAUAUGGAUAAAAAAAACAAAUUAGAAUCAAAAGAUGCAAUUUAUGAACAAGCAAAAAAUAAUAUAAAUAAUAAUUCUAAAAAUAGAAUGAAUAUUCCAAUGAAUAGAGGAGAAGAAGAAAAUAAUAAUAACAAUAAUAAUACUAUGAUGAUGAACGAAAUGAAAGGAAAUAGAAAUAAUAGUAGUAAGCGAUCUAAUAUACAUAACGAAAUAGUACAUUUAAAAGAAGGUAAUAAAGACAAUAAAAUGUAUAAUGAAAAUAAUGAUAAUUACUAUAAAAAAAAUUAUAAUAUAAACAAUAAUAUAAACAAUAACAAACAUCAAAUAAUAUAA
rnacentral:lncRNA from 1 species